GACGAACGCUGGCGGCGUGCCUAAUACAUGCAAGUUGAGCGCUGAAGGUUGGUACUUGUACCAACUGGAUGAGCAGCGCACGGGUGAGUAACGCGUGGGGAAUCUGCCUUUGAGCGGGGGACAACAUUUGGAAACGAAUGCUAAUACCGCAUAAAAACUUUAAACACAAGUUUUAAGUUUGAAAGAUGCAAUUGCAUCACUCAAAGAUGAUCCCGCGUUGUAUUAGCUAGUUGGUGAGGUAAAGGCUCACCAAGGCGAUGAUACAUAGCCGACCUGAGAGGGUGAUCGGCCACAUUGGGACUGAGACAAGGCCCAAACUCCUACGGGAGGCAGCAGUAGGGAAUCUUCGGCAAUGGACGAAAGUCUGACCGAGCAACGCCGCGUGAGUGAAGAAGGUUUUCGGAUCGUAACACUCUGUUGGUAGAGAAGAACGUUGGUGAGAGUGGAAAGCUCAUCAAGUGACGGUAACUACCCAGAAAGGGACGGCUAACUACGUG
rnacentral:rRNA from 1 species